rnacentral:lncRNA from 1 species
UCCCCAUGGAUGUUAAUAAGCUCGGGUCUGUGGCAGCAACAACUAUCUUCACUCCCAGCCUGCAGAGGUGAGCUACCAGUGAACUUCUUAAUGAUACGGAGCAUUCUCACCAGAAUGAGAUGAAUUCUCACCUCUCACCAGAGCAUACCUAAAUGUCCUUGGUGAAUAGUGUAUCCUCGCGUCCCUCCUGUGGUACCUUGGAUUCAGUAAUGUACAAGAGUUUCACCUGAUCCACAUCCUCAUCCACACUUGAUAUUGGUUUCACCGGUUCGGAUCCUGGGUGUGGACAUGGCACCGCUCAUCUGGCCAUGCUGAGGCGGAAUCCCACAUGCCACAACUAGAAGGACCCGCAACUAAACCUGGGUUUGCUUCCUGCUACCAGCAGCAGUGUGGGAUGUGGCAGCAUCUUCCCUCUCCCCUUCUGUGCCCCGACUUCCUCUCCUCUCCCUGUCCCGGAGAAGACUGCCUGUGGAUCCUCCACAUUCAGACCGAGGAAAGGAAGAGAAGCAAUAAGCAGGAAAGGCCCGAUGUCACUGAUAAUACCGCGACCUGGUCUAAUGCUCUCAUGGCAGGACUUAGAUCUGUCUGUAGUAGAGCACUUUCAAGGUUCCUCAGAAAUGUCCUCAUGGAAAAAUUCUAAAUACAAUUCCUCUGAGUUCCAGGCUGGAGCCUUCUGCAGCACCCUAGUCAAGCUAUAUGGGAGACCAUAAGGAAACUCAGAGAACUCACUGCUGUGUUCUUCCUCAAGUCUUGAAGUCUCCAGGCAGUUCACUUCCUUCUUUCUACCUUUCAGAGUCUUCCUGUGCUUAUUUUAGUCCAGGGUUGUGUUAUGGUUCUGCUGACUGUGUUAUAGCCAAGACAUUUAGUUGUAAUGGUGAGAUUCAGAGAGAAAUUCCAUCUUGGCCAGAACUGGAAGUUGAAAUUGAAUUUUUAUCCAUUUUUAUUUGAUAUAUUAUUCAUAAUUAAAUAAAUGACUAAUAAAAAAUAAAAACUAGAAAGAAACACACUUUUGAGAUGACUUGC